CUAAACCAUCAAAGCUUUUAGAAGC
rnacentral:siRNA from 1 species